GGCAACUAGCCAUAGGCACUGCUAUUUGGUUCAGAGAAGCACCAAUUAAUUCGACUGCUCUCUGAUCCACUUGAAGAACUCAGCUGGAAAUCAAACAAAGCCAACCUAAAAAAAAACGUCUAACACUAGAGUAUUCCUGUAUCCUGGAGAAGGCAGCACUCGAGCCACCAUCUUGGAAGUGAAGAUCAGGCCCUCAGCAGACACAAAACCUGCCAGUGCCAUGAUCUUGGAUUUUUCAACCUGCAGGACUAUUCAAUGAAAUUCCAAUGAAAAUCUCAAGUUAUUAUGUGAAUAUUGAAAAACGAACCCUAAAGUUUAUAUGGAGAGCCAAAAAAUGCAAAAGAGCCAGCACAUAUUGAAAGAGAAGAACAAAGUCAGAAGAU
rnacentral:lncRNA from 1 species